UGUAGGGGUGCAUGUAGGCACGAUCCUUGUGAUGCGGUACGUGAUGGUGUGUGAGUGGUAUUUGGUUUGUGUGGUUGGCGGGCUCUUUGCUUGUGCAUUGGACCGUUCACCAACAUGCCUUUUCAUUGUAUGCUGCAAGUGCACCAUUUUGCCUUGGGCGACGUGUGGUCCCUAUGUUGGAUUCCGAUUAACGGUAUUGUUGUUGUCCCUUUAAAGAGUGAUAUUCGCUCUACGGAGGUCGAGCGGACCAUGAAACUUGACUCGUUAUCCUCCUUGUUUUGUGAAAACAAGCAUGAUAGGGUUGGAUUAUGAUCUCAAGUUGGGCCCUAGGAUACAGAAAGUUGUGUGGGAGUUGAUGUUAAAACGUCGCAAACCCAAAGCGUUGUAAUGAUGGAUGACACUCGAGUGUGUUGUGAUUCUUUCGUUCUUGAAAGGUUCAUGCGCCCCGAUGUCAACCAAGGAGUGCUACCUGGUUGAUCCUG
rnacentral:misc_RNA from 1 species